UACGGAGGGUGCAAGCGUUGCUCGGAAUUACUGGGCGUAAAGCGCACGCAGGCGGUUUGAUAAGUCGGAUGUGAAAGCCCUGGGCUCAACCCAGGAACUGCAUUCGAAACUGCCAGACUUGAGUUCGGGAGAGAGGGGUGGAAUUCCUGGUGUAGAGGUGAAAUUCGUUGAUAUCAGGAGGAACACCGGCGGCGAAAGCGGCCCCUUGGCCCGAUACUGACGCUCAUGUGCGAAAGCGUGGGGAGCAAACAGG
rnacentral:rRNA from 1 species